rnacentral:rRNA from 1 species
UACUAACGCUGGCGGCGUGCUUAACACAUGCAAGUCGAACGGAAAGGCCCUGCUUUUGUGGGGUGCUCGAGUGGCGAACGCGUGAGUAACACGUGAGUAACCUGCCCUUGAUUUUGGGAUAACUUCAGGAAACUGGAGCUAAUACCGGAUAGGAGCUCCUGUUGCAUGGUGGGGGUUGGAAAGUUUCGGCGGUUGGGGUUGGACUCGCGGCUUAUCAGCUUGUUGGUGGGGUAGUGGCUUACCAAGGCUUUGACGGGUAGCCGGCCUGAGAGGGUGACCGGCGACAGUGGGACUGAGGUACGGCCCAGAGUCCUACGGGAGGCAGCAGUGGGGAAUAUUGCACAAUGGGCGGAAGCCUGAUGCAGCGACGCCGCGUGCGGGAUGACGGCCUUCGGGUUGUAAACCGCUUUCGCCUGUGACGCAGCGUGAGUGACGGUAAUGGGUGAAGAAGCACCGGCUAACUACGUG